rnacentral:tRNA from 1 species
GACCUCAUAGCUCAAUGGAUAGAGUUCCUUUUGAAAAUAAGGGAGGACGCAGGUCCGAUUCCUGCCGAGGUCC